rnacentral:misc_RNA from 1 species
GAUGAAGAACGCAGCGAAAUGCGAUAAGUAAUGUGAAUUGCAGAAUUCAGUGAAUCAUCGAAUCUUUGAACGCACCUUGCACCCUUUGGCAUUCCGAAGGGUAUGCUCGUUUGAGUGUCAUUGUACUCUCACUCUCCCGAUCUUUGGAUCGGGAGUGGUGGACUUGGGUGUUGCUGCUUUACCGUGGCUCACCUCAAAUGGAUUCGUGCAACUCCUGGUUGGACAUAGUACGGCGUGAUAAGUGUCUUCGCCGGCACCUCACUAGAGGGUGGCCGAUCAGGAGCUCUGUGCUUUCAAACUGUCUUCGGACAAUCUCUGACAACUUGACCUCAAAUCGAGUAGGACUACCCGCUGAACUUAAGCAUAUCAAUAAGCGGAGGA